rnacentral:tRNA from 1 species
GGCCCCAUCGUCUAAUGGCUUAGGACAUCGCUCUUUCAAGGCGAAAAUGGGGGUUCGAUUCCCCCUGGGGCCA